GCAGCAGCCGCGGGAAUACGUAGGGGGCGAGCGUUGUCCGGAAUUAUUGGGCGUAAAGCGCGUGUAGGCGGCUCAGCAAGUCCGCUCUGAAAGCCCAGGGCUCAACCCUGGGAUGCGGGUGGAUACUGCUGAGCUCGAGUCCGGAAGAGGCGAGUGGAAUUCCUGGUGUAGCGGUGAAAUGCGCAGAUAUCAGGAGGAACACCAAUGGCGAAGGCAGCUCGCUGGGACGUGACUGACGCUGAGACGCGAAAGCGUGGGGAGCAAACAGGAUUAGAGACCCCUGUAGUCCCUGUCUCUUAUAA
rnacentral:rRNA from 1 species